rnacentral:rRNA from 1 species
UACAGAGGUGGCAAGCGUUGUUCGGAAUUACUGGGCGUAAAGAGCUCGUAGGCGGUUUGUCGCGUCUGCCGUGAAAGUCCGGGGCUCAACUUCGGAUCUGCGGUGGGUACGGGCAGACUAGAGUGAUGUAGGGGAGACUGGAAUUCCUGGUGUAGCGGUGAAAUGCGCAGAUAUCAGGAGGAACACCGAUGGCGAAGGCAGGUCUCUGGGCAUUAACUGACGCUGAGGAGCGAAAGCAUGGGGAGCGAACAGG